rnacentral:tRNA from 1 species
CGCAUAGCUCAGUUGGCAGAGCAGCUGACUCUUAAUCAGCGGGUCCAAGGUUCGAAUCCUUGUGCGC